UUUUAACUACUAUAUCAACGUAAGCAAGACCUCACUUAGAGCGCACUAGCCAUUACUUGACAGCCAAAGACAACCAAGUCAGUUUAUAUUGUUGUUUCCAUUUAAACAUUGUUCUCUUGUGUUUUUACUCAUGCUUAGAAUUCUUGGUUGGCAGGUGGUUCAUUUGCAUCCAUCAAUUUGCGAGGAUCACAAAACCUGAGUGGGUAAGUUAUCACAUAACCCCUCAUGAAACGUGGCCUCGAGAAGCUUUAUCAGAAAAGAGAAAAGGACAAUCAUAUGUCAACGUUUAUAUUUACUUGGACAAGAGAAGCAAUCCAUAAGAGGAGGAUUAUAUAGUAACUCGAGGUAUUUAGCAGGAAGCUGCUCCGUCUCCUUUGUGGUUUCAAAAUUUAGACCAACAACCAAGUCGCCUCAGGAUGAUCAAGAGUCUUGCAGCUAGACAAACAGAACCAAACCCCAACGAGAGAACAUGAUCUGGCUUUCAUAGAUUUAUGAUACCGUAGAAGGUUCCAGGAACUGGAGUCAAGCGACGGGCAACUUUGAAAGCUAUGCACCAUUCAUCAAUUUGCUACGACCCUAAAUAUUACUGUCAUGGCCACACAGUUUCUGUGGAUGUCGGUUUGGGUUCUAUCUACAAACCAUAUUGUCAAGUUGCAGAUAUCCUCAUUCAAGAUCGGUUUCCUCGUUUACAAAAAGGAUCUCCUCCUCCUCUGAUGCCUCCCUAUCAUCGUUGUUCUCCAACUCAAGCUCGAUACUGGUAGCCUUUUCUUUGUUAUUAUCUUUCAACUAUGAUUAAAUCCAUAGACACCAGACUUGCUUUCUCCACCUCCUUGUUUUGAGUCUUCCCCAUACAUGGUGGUUAAAAUGUGAUUGUUAUGGUUUCCUUCUCAUUAGGAGAGAAACUGAACAAAAACAUCAACGUCUAAAAGGAUUAGUUAUCUUUUUCAUCAAAUAUCAUAUGAAAGCAA